rnacentral:lncRNA from 13 species
AUUUUUUUUCACAAAUAUCCUUUUUGAAUUUAAAAGUAAUCCAAGCGGUAAUCAUCUACUUAUUACAAUAUUUUUUGGGGGCAAACAGAUGUCGUGUCUUUGGCUAUGCCUGAUUAGAUGAUAUGACAUGCUAUUCUAUAAAAUAAUUUCUCCGUAAUUAAUAUUACCUGAUUGAGCUAAUCAUGUAAAUGUAAUUAACUAGAGUGUCGGGCANNNNNNNNNNUAUGUUUAUGUUUGUUCAUAUUGCCUGCGUGCAUUUUAAGACAGAUUACUGAUAAGACAGACAGAGAAGAGAGAGAGAUAGUGAGGGAAAUAUUAUUUGACAGGACAGAGGAGCAAUAUAAUAUUUAUAAUAUUUAAAAGAUAAGUACACCAUUAUACACUCACUGGAUGAGAACUCCAGGGUUGUGUUCAUUAGGCACCAAACGGACUGAAACAGGGAGGAACUCUCUGGACUGGUCCAAUAAGAAAUACUCCUUUUUGUGUUCCAUUGCAAAACAUUUUCAGUUGCGUGCCCUAAUGAACACCACCCUGAUCUGUCAUCCAUGUUGGUUAAUCAGACAUUAUUGACAGUGAAUCUUUUCAAGCAUAAACACAGUAAAUAUAGUAAACAAACACCAAGUGUUUCUGCAGGCUCCUUCGGGAACAGUGGAUCAGAGCCAAAUACGAGAGGAAGGAGUUUGUGUGUGUGGAGAGACAGGAGCCUUACUCUGCAGUGUGCUCCUCAACACCCCUGCAUUCCACACUCAGAGAAUAAUGAACUUUCUAAGGAUGAACAGCUGAUCAGUAGUGAAAGAAAGAGAGAAAGAGAGAAAUAGUGAGUGGGAAAGAGAGAGAGAACAAAGAAAGAAAGAGACCUCAACAUUCCCUCUCUUUCCUGGAAAUCCAUUAAAAUAAUAUCAAAGGCCAUUCAACAUUGAGAGAUUUGACUGUGAGAGUUUUUUCUCGUGCUUCUUUCCAUUCCUGUGGAUUCAUCAAUGCUAUGCCUACAUCAUGUUAUCUCAGGACCACAUGAGCAGUAAAGAGCUGUUACUUGGAAACGGUAAUAAGAUAAGCCUUGUGCCGCCUUGUCAUCUCGCUUCAGCGACCGCCACAUUGUCGUCCUUUCCUCUACUAAACCCCUCUGUGAUGCAGAAAGCGAAACAGAAAUGUGCUAACAGGGUUGGGUAGUUUCUAAAUGUAAUCCGUUAGUUACUAGUUACCUGUUCAAAAUUGUAAUCGGUAACGUAACUUUUGGAUUACCCGAACUCAGUCACAUAAAUCAGAUUAUUUUCAGUUACUUUUGGACAAAAAGGAUCCAUCAAACACAUUUGGUGUGUCAUCAUAUCGGUCUCUGACUUGUGGUGAGACUCACUCAGGUGGAACAAACUGAAACUUGUGCCUUUUUUCAAUGCUGAAUUGAAAAACCAUUAAGAAAACAGAAUGGUGUGAUGUAUUUUUUUUCACAAAUAUCCUUUUUGAAUUUAAAAGUAAUCCAAGCGGUAAUCAUCUACUUAUUACAAUAUUUUUUGGGGGCAAACAGAUGUCGUGUCUUUGGCUAUGCCUGAUUAGAUGAUAUGACAUGCUAUUCUAUAAAAUAAUUUCUCCGUAAUUAAUAUUACCUGAUUGAGCUAAUCAUGUAAAUGUAAUUAACUAGAGUGUCGGGCANNNNNNNNNNAGGAACAAAGGGAAGAAGCUGUGCUAUCGUAAAUACAGUAUCUUAUGCAUUCUAAAUUACCACUCAUUUGGAAAAGGAAAAUGCAACAAAUAUUUACUCUGAGCUGCGCUUCGGUAGGUUGGUGGUAGAUGGGAGGCCGUGUUGCCCAACCGAGUCCUUUGAAGAAUGUCUCUGGUUGUCAAUUGGAUACGUUGUAGUAACGUCGUUGGGUGAUAGACGGAAUACUCUGUCUGUUCCUUCCUAACCCUCAUUUGCAUCUGCUCUUGCUAACUCAANNNNNNNNNNUUGUCAUCUCGCUUCAGCGACCGCCACAUUGUCGUCCUUUCCUCUACUAAACCCCUCUGUGAUGCAGAAAGCGAAACAGAAAUGUGCUAACAGGGUUGGGUAGUUUCUAAAUGUAAUCCGUUAGUUACUAGUUACCUGUUCAAAAUUGUAAUCGGUAACGUAACUUUUGGAUUACCCGAACUCAGUCACAUAAAUCAGAUUAUUUUCAGUUACUUUUGGACAAAAAGGAUCCAUCAAACACAUUUGGUGUGUCAUCAUAUCGGUCUCUGACUUGUGGUGAGACUCACUCAGGUGGAACAAACUGAAACUUGUGCCUUUUUUCAAUGCUGAAUUGAAAAACCAUUAAGAAAACAGAAUGGUGUGAUGUAUUUUUUUUCACAAAUAUCCUUUUUGAAUUUAAAAGUAAUCCAAGCGGUAAUCAUCUACUUAUUACAAUAUUUUUUGGGGGCAAACAGAUGUCGUGUCUUUGGCUAUGCCUGAUUAGAUGAUAUGACAUGCUAUUCUAUAAAAUAAUUUCUCCGUAAUUAAUAUUACCUGAUUGAGCUAAUCAUGUAAAUGUAAUUAACUAGAGUGUCGGGCAUUUAUAGAGCUGUUAUCUUCCGAAUAAACUCUUAAAGACCUAGUAAUAUUUUACAUCAAUAGCAGUCAAUAUUAAUCGUCAUCUUAAUUCAGUCUCAUCUGAAAGUGGUAAAUUAUUGGUUAUCUGCACGAACCCUGGCUCACAAGUUGAAUCAGCAAUACAAAAUUGGGUUUAAUUAUUUAUUUACUAAAUACCUAACUAAUCACACAGAAUUACACAUACACAUAAUUAAAUCAUAACUUGAUUACAAAUUACGUCAUAAAGGAAAACGUCCCUAGCGGGCGGAACAGAUAUGACAGCUUGUUACACGAAAGAAAAGGCCUGGGUUUGAGUGAAAGAGCGGCAAGACUGAGGAACAAAGGGAAGAAGCUGUGCUAUCGUAAAUACAGUAUCUUAUGCAUUCUAAAUUACCACUCAUUUGGAAAAGGAAAAUGCAACAAAUAUUUACUCUGAGCUGCGCUUCGGUAGGUUGGUGGUAGAUGGGAGGCCGUGUUGCCCAACCGAGUCCUUUGAAGAAUGUCUCUGGUUGUCAAUUGGAUACGUUGUAGUAACGUCGUUGGGUGAUAGACGGAAUACUCUGUCUGUUCCUUCCUAACCCUCAUUUGCAUCUGCUCUUGCUAACUCAACGGCUAGGAGGUAUCACUUCUGUAGUGAAUAAGAGUUCAAAGUUCAUAUCAAUCGCAACCAAAGCUCACGCUGAUGUUGGCUUCGUUCUGUAGUUAUUAUCUGAACCAUUCUGUCAUAGGACCGUCGUCCUCACAUCCUCGGAACAGGAGGUUAUAUUGUCGUCAAGGGCUCAUAUAGGAAGGGAGAGGAGGGCGUGUUUGAAAAGUUGUAUAGCCCAUGUCCCUUCACAGGGGCGGGCCACUGAUUGAGCAGAGCCCUAUCGUAUGAAAACCCAAAUCUCAAUUUUAGAAGCUAAAAUCGCAUUUCAUCACAAAUAAUUUCAUAUUCAAACAUUUAAAUUGAACAACAAUUCCAUGUGAAUCUGAUAACUCUGAUGUGUAGACUUUCCACUGUAGAGUUUAUGUCAUCUUAUCAUUGAUGAGAAUGUCUCAGAUGACAACCGAACUGACAUCAUAUUCAUUAAGUACCAGCGCAUAUGUUCAAUUGGUCGGAUUACCAGAAUAUAGUUCAUUUCCCCCCACCUUCUGAUGUUCCCAGAAUCUCUNNNNNNNNNNGGCUAAAGGCUAGAGGCUAGGGCUUGUUCCUGGACUGGACCCCUGUGUAGUUUCAUACUCACUUGGCCACAGCAGUGAAGGAUAACUCCACAUUGAGGCCAGACUUUGCACUGGUCUCCAUGUAUGGAACCCCAAACUCCUGCAGAGAAACAGACAGGCAGGGUAUCUUGGGUUGAACACGCCACAUUCACAUUGUCUUGAGUGUCUUUGUAGCUAGUCUAGAGCACCACAUAUCCUCCCUGAUAGCCUGGGGACAAGGUUACUUUGCUGCUAAUGGUAACAGUAUUAGAGACCAUUGUUGCCCCCUGGCUGGCCAGGCAGUAACAAAUGAUGUGUCUGUUUUAGGCACAGCAGCUAAUGACAAAGAAUAUUGAGCAUAAACCCAUAUUAACAUUCACCAUCAGCACCCAGAAGACACAACAACACAGAGACCCACAGGGAAAUAAUACAGACACUACAACACAUCUGUCCUGGGGUGACUAUAGUACUGCUGGGAGUGCACAUUCAGAACCAUUCCAAUGAGCAGAUUGGAAUACUAGCUAUGUGACAAAGAAUUCCUCAGGCAGGGUGUGCGUGGGAGAUUUGUCUCAGCAUCCAGCACCAUAGUAAUGACUAGGCUAAUGUGUUCCUCUCUCCAGGUUUAUGCUAUCAGCACUAGAGGUAUGCACCAGACUGGGUUUAAAUACUAUUUGAAGUCUAUUAAAUACUUUGAGCGUUUGCUUUAGCCUGUCUGGAGAGUCGGAUGCGCGGGGUUUGGAAUUUUGAGACUUUCUUAUUGGUUCCAUUGCGAAAGCAAGCUCAAUCGAGCCCAUCUAAAUUAUUUGACAUGAUUUCAAAUAGUAGCUGAACCCAGGUCUGCAAGGCACUUUGAUAUUUGUAUUGUAGCCGUGUUCCACAGCGGUAGUCAGGGGGAAUGAGAAAGUGUAUUCACAUUUCCUGCAACGUUCAAAGUCCUAUUUGCACCAGUAUCUGUAUUCACCUGAGAGUGCAUUGCUGUGAAAUUGAGUUAAACUAAAUAUUCCUCACUGUUGUACUGUAUGCAUGUGUUUAUAGAGAAAAUACAAACAUAUGAAAAAUGAGACUAGAUGUCCAUCCUAUAGAAGCAUGAAAGAGCCUGUAGAUAAUAUCAAGACAGCAGGCCGUGGUGCAAAGGUCCUUGGUGCAAAGAUACUGUACACAGACAGACUACAUUCAGGUUCUAUGGUAAAGUAAUAUCUCAUAAACCUGGCAUUUCUUCUUGAUAUUUAUCUUUGAUUUUUGCAGACGGUGCAUUUUCCUCCCAACAGUGAAAAUCAAUAUGAAUUAGAUCAAUGGACUGAGUCCAAUAAAAGACAGAGAGAGAGAGUGAGAGUGAGAGAGAGUGGGAGAGUGAGAGAGAAUGAGAGAGAGAGUGAGAGAGAGAGAGUGAGAGAGAGAGUGGGAGAGUGAGAUAGAGUGAGAGAGUGAGAGAGAGUGAGAGAGAGAGAGUGAGAGUGAGAGAGAGAGAGUGAGAGUGAGA